rnacentral:rRNA from 1 species
GUGCCAGCCGCCGCGGUAAUACAGAGGUCCCAAGCGUUGUUCGGAUUCACUGGGCGUAAAGGGUGCGUAGGUGGCGAGGUAAGUCGGAUGUGAAAUCUCCGAGCUCAACUCGGAAAUGGCAUUGGAAACUACCUUGCUCGAGGAUCGGAGGGGGGACUGGAAUACUUGGUGUAGCAGUGAAAUGCGUAGAUAUCAAGUGGAACACCAGCGGCGAAGGCGAGUCCCUGGACGACUCCUGACACUGAGGCACGAAAGCUAGGGGAGCAAACAGGAUUAGAUACCCUCGUAGUCC